GGUGAUAUUAAAUCUAGCUCCCUCAGGUGUGAAAACUACAGCAUGGUAGUCAAACGCUCGAAUAUCAGAAACCCUACGGAAGGAUAGAUAAACAUAGAAGUAAUGCCAACUUGGCAGAAAGUUGGCGUAAGGACAAAGCCUUGUUGGAAGGCCAAGAUUCCACAAAGGAAAAAACCUGGGUGACAUCCCAGAGAUUGGAAU